CCUACGGGUGACAGCAGUGGGGAAUAUUGCACAAUGGGGGGAACCCUGAUGCAGCGACGCCGCGUGGGUGAAGGAGUGCUUCGGCAUGUAAAGCCCUAUCGGCAGGGAAGAAGCAAGACGGUACCUGACUAAGAAGCCCCGGCGAACUACGUGCCAGCAGCCGCGGUAAUACGUAGGGGGCGAGCGUUAUCCGGAUUCACUGGGUGUAAGGGGAGCGUAGACGGCCAUGCAAGCCAGGGGUGAAAGCCCGGGGCCCAACCCCGGGAGUGCCCUUGGAACUGUGCGGCUAGAGUGCGGGGGGGGCAGGCGGAAUUCGUGGUGUAGCGGUGAAAUGCGUAGAUAUCAGGAGGAACACCGGCGGCGAAGGCGGCCUGCUGGACUGCGACUGACGUUGAGGCUCGAAAGCGUGGGGAGCGAACAGGAUUAGAUACCCCAGUAGUC
rnacentral:rRNA from 1 species